AUACGGAGGGGGCUAGCGUUGUUCGGAAUUACUGGGCGUAAAGCGCACGUAGGUGGAUUAAAAAGUUAGAGGUGAAAUCCCAGGGCUUAACCCUGGAACUGCCUUUAAAACUAGUAGUCUAGAGUUCGAGAGAGGUGAGUGGAAUUCCAAGUGUAGAGGUGAAAUUCGUAGAUAUUUGGAGGAACACCAGUGGCGAAGGCGGUUCACUGGCUCGAUACUGACGCUGAGGUGCGAAAGCGUGGGGAGCAAACAGGAUUAGAAACCCGAGUAGUCC
rnacentral:rRNA from 1 species